UACGUAGGGUGCGAGCGUUAAUCGGAAUUACUGGGCGUAAAGCGUGCGCAGGCGGUUUUGUAAGCCAGAUGUGAAAUCCCCGGGCUUAACCUGGGAAUGGCAUUUGGGACUGCAAGGCUUGAGUGCGGCAGAGGAGACUGGAAUUCCUGGUGUAGCAGUGAAAUGCGUAGAGAUGUGGAGGAAUACCGAUGGCGAAGGCAGCCUCCUGGGCCAACACUGACGCUCAUGCACGAAAGCGUGGGGAGCAAACAGG
rnacentral:rRNA from 1 species